GUAUUAGUUAGGUUCUUGAAACCCAAAGGAUUUGGCGGUAUUUUAGUCCUUUCAGAGGAACCUGCCCCUUAAUCGACAGUCCACGGUUUUGUUUACUUGUUUUUGUUUUCAGCUUGUAUACCUCCGUCAUAAGAGUGUCUUUUUAGGGAUAAUUCUCUUAAUUUUUGUUAGUAAAGAUGUCAGGUCAAGGUGCAGCUUAUGGUCAAGUGUGAGGUGGGUUACAAUAGUUUUAUCUAUACGAAUACUGGUUUUGUCAAACCUGUUGAAGGUGGAUUUGAAAGUAAACUUAUUAGCUUUAAUUUUUUGAUUUUGGCUCUAAAAUAUGCAC
rnacentral:rRNA from 1 species